GAUGAACGCUGGCGGCGUGCCUAAUACAUGCAAGUCGAGCGAACGGACGAGAAGCUUGCUUCUCUGAUGUUAGCGGCGGACGGGUGAGUAACACGUGGAUAACCUACCUAUAAGACUGGGAUAACUUCGGGAAACCGGAGCUAAUACCGGAUAAUAUUUUGAACCGCAUGGUUCAAAAGUGAAAGACGGUCUUGCUGUCACUAAUAGAUGGAUCCGCGCUGCAUUAGCUAGUUGGUAAGGUAACGGCUUACCAAGGCAACGAUGCAUAGCCGACCUGAGCGGGUCAUCGGACACACUGGAACUGAGACACGUUCCAGACUCCUACGGGAGGCAGCAGCAGGGAAUCUUACGCGAAGGGGGAAAGCCUGACAGAGCAAAGCCGCGGGAGUGAUGAUGGUCUUCGGCUCGUAAAACUCUGUUAUUCGGGAAGAACAUAUGUGUAAGUACCUGUGCACAUCUUGACGGUACCUAGUGAGAAAGCCACGGCUAACUCCGUG
rnacentral:rRNA from 1 species